rnacentral:rRNA from 1 species
AGAGUUUGAUCCUGGCUCAGGAUGAACGCUAGCGGCAGGCUUAACACAUGCAAGUCGAGGGGCAUCGGGAGGGAAGCUUGCUUUCCUUGCCGGCGACCGGCGCACGGGUGAGUAACACGUAUGCAACCUGCCCUCUUCAGGGGGACAACCUUCCGAAAGGGAGGCUAAUCCCGCGUAUAUCGGUUUCGGGCAUCCGAGAUCGAGGAAAGAUUCAUCGGAAGAGGAUGGGCAUGCGGCGCAUUAGCUUGACGGCGGGGUAACGGCCCACCGUGGCGACGAUGCGUAGGGGUUCUGAGAGGAAGGUCCCCCACACUGGUACUGAGGCACGGACCAGACUCCUACGGGAGGCAGCAGUGAGGAAUAUUGGUCAAUGGGAGAGAUCCUGAACCAGCCAAGCCGCGUGAGGGAAGACGGCCCUAUGGGUUGUAAACCUCUUUUGUCGGAGAACAAAACCCGGGACGUGUCCCGGACUGCGUGUAUCCGAAGAAAAAGCAUCGGCUAACUCCGUG